GGGGGCGAAACUGGUUUCGACGGGGGUUUGGAGCUUACAGUAGCGAGUCGUUUUGAGAACAACGUAAAAGUCUCAAAAAAAAUUAAACGACAAUAACGAAUUAGCGUUUGCUGCCUAAGCGCAGCUCAUCUUCUCUUUGAACCCCGUGGCUUAGAGUAAGGUGUCAAAUUAACGGGACACAAAACUAGGGAAGACAACAUAGCUUAGUGGGUAUUAAUGUUGUUAUAAUUUAAAUACUUUGUUCGUCGAGGAUUUAAAUCGAAUUUAAAUGAUGUAACUGCACUCGGAGAAGCUGUCUGUAAAGGGCUUUCGGACGCGGGUUCGACUCCCGCCGCCUCCACCA
rfam:Peptoniphilus indolicus ATCC 29427 genomic scaffold SCAFFOLD3, whole genome shotgun sequence.